GACGAACGCUGGCGGCGUGCUUAACACAUGCAAGUCGAACGGAAAUGCCCUGCUUUUGUGGGGUGCUCGAGUGGCGAACGGGUUAGUAACACGUGAGUAACCUGCCCUUGACUUUGGUAUAACUUCAGGAAACUGGGGCUAAUACCGGAUAGGAGCUCCUGCUGCAUGGUGGGGGUUGGAAAGUUUCGGCGGUUGGGGAUGGACUCGCGGCUUAUCAGCUUGUUGGUGGGGUAGUGGCUUACCAAGGCUUUGACGGGUAGCCGGCCUGAGAGGGUGACCGGCCACAUUGGGACUGAGAUACGGCCCAGACUCCUACGGGAGGCAGCAGUGGGGAAUAUUGCACAAUGGGCGGAAGCCUGAUGCAGCAACGCCGCGUGCGGGAUGACGGCCUUCGGGUUGUAAACCGCUUUCGCCUGUGACGAAGCGUGAGUGACGGUAAUGGGUAAAGAAGCACCGGCUAACUACGUG
rnacentral:rRNA from 1 species